GGAUUAUGUUGUUUAAUUCGACGCAACGCGAAGAACCUUACCAGGCCUUGACAUACUCGGCAAAGCUCUAGAGAUAGAGUGGAGGUUAUCCGGGAUACAGGUGGUGCAUGGUUGUCGUCAGCUCGUGUCGUGAGAUGUUGGGUUAAGUCCCGCAACGAGCGCAACCCUUGUCUUUAGUUACCAUCAUUCAGUUGGGGACUCUAGAGAGACUGCCGGUGAUAAACCGGAGGAAGUGGGGAUGACGUCAAAUCAUCAUGCCCCUUAUGGCCUGGGCUACAAACGUAAUACAAUGGCGUAUACAAAGGGAUGCGAAAGGGCGACCUGGAGCAAAACUCACAAAGUACGUCUCAGUUCAGAUUGGAGUCUGCAACUCGACUCCAUGAAGGCGGAAUCGCUAGUAAUCGCGGAUCAGCAUGCCGCGGUGAAUACGUUCUCGGGGUUU
rnacentral:rRNA from 1 species